rnacentral:rRNA from 1 species
GGAAUUUUACGCAAUGGGCGAAAGCCUGACGUAGCGACACCGCGUGAGCGACGAAGCCCCUUGGGGUGUAAAGCUCUGUCAGCUGGAACGAAAAAAAUGACGGUACCAGCAGAGGAAGCAUCGGCUAACUACGUGCCAGCAGCCGCGGUAAGACGUAGGAUGCAAGCGUUGUCCGGAUUUAUUGGGCGUAAAGAGUUCGUAGGUGGUUUGUUAAGUUUGGUGUUAAAGAUUGGGGCUCAACCCUGAAACUGCACUGAAUACUGGCAGACUCGAGUGUGGUAGAGGCUAGUGGAAUUCCCAGUGUAGCGGUGAAAUGCGUAGAUAUUGGGAAGAACACCGGUGGCGUAGGCGACUAGCUGGGCCAUAACUGACACUGAGGAACGAAAGCCAGGGGAGCGAAUG